rnacentral:rRNA from 1 species
AUGGCUUCCCUCGCCUCCCCUCCCGUCCCCUCCCACGCGCCCACCACCGCCGCUCGCUUCCUCCCCGCGCCGGCCGGCCGCGGCAGGCGCCCGUCGCCGCCGGCCGCUUCACCUAUCUUCUCCUCUGCUUCCACCCGAUUCACCCAGUCCCCGCGCGCCCCCUGCGGCGCCGCCCGACCGCGCUGGCGCGACACCGUGCGGGCAUGCUCUCAAGCUGGUGCAGCUGGGCCAGCUCCACUGUCAAAGACAUUAUCAGACCUAAAGGAUUCCUGCUGGAGAUUUUUAAGGCCACACACAAUUCGUGGAACUGCUUUGGGAUCCACAGCCUUGGUUGCUAGAGCAUUAUUAGAGAAUCCCCAAUUGAUCGAUUGGCGCUUGGUAUUCAAAGCAUUAUAUGGCCUUGUAGCUUUGAUCUGCGGCAACGGUUACAUUGUUGGGAUUAAUCAGAUCUAUGACAUUGGAAUUGACAAGGUAAACAAACCAUAUUUACCUAUUGCUGCCGGUGAUCUCUCAGUUCAGUCAGCAUGGUUACUGGUCGUAGCAUUCGCAGUGGUGGGCUUCUCAAUAGUCGUUUCAAACUUUGGACCUUUCAUCACCUCUCUUUACUGCCUUGGUCUAUUUCUUGGCACUAUAUAUUCUGUUCCUCCAUUCAGACUGAAGAGAUAUCCAGUUGCUGCUUUUCUUAUCAUUGCGACGGUUCGUGGAUUCCUUCUCAACUUUGGGGUGUACUAUGCUACUAGAGCUGCAUUAGGUCUUACAUUCCAAUGGAGCUCGCCCGUUGCUUUUAUUACAUGCUUUGUGACAGUAUUUGCUCUGGUCAUUGCUAUAACCAAAGAUCUUCCGGAUGUUGAAGGGGACCGCAAAUUCCAAAUAUCAACUUUGGCGACAAAGCUUGGUGUCAGAAAUAUUGCCUUCCUUGGCUCUGGUUUAUUGUUGGCAAAUUAUGUUGUUGCUAUUGUAGUACCUUUUCUUAUUCCUCAGGCUUUCAGGAGCUUUGUAAUGGUGCCUUUUCAUGCUGCUCUUGCAGUUGCUUUAAUUUUUCAGACAUGGGUUCUGGAGCAAGCAAAGUACAGUAAGGAUGCUAUUUCACAGUACUACCGGUUCAUCUGGAACCUCUUCUAUGCCGAAUACAUCUUCUUCCCGUUAAUAUAG